UGUGAAGUGGAGCAAAUCCCAAAAAUAAACGUCUCAGUUCGGAUCGUAGUCUGCAACUCGACUACAUGAAGCUGGAAUCGCUAGUAAUCGCGGAUCAGCAUGCCGCGGUGAAUACGUUCCCGGGCCUUGUACACACCGCCCGUCACACCAUGGAAGUCGGUAAUGCCCGAAGUCAGUAGCCUAACCGCAAGGAGGGCGCUGCCGAAGGCAGGAUUGAUGACUGGGGUGAAGUCGUAACAAGGUAUC
rnacentral:rRNA from 1 species